rnacentral:rRNA from 1 species
GACGAACGCUGGCGGCGUGCCUAAUACACGCAAGUUGAGCGCUGAAGGUUGGUACUUGUACCGACUGGAUGAGCAGCGAACGGGUGAGUAACGCGUGGGGAAUCUGCCUUUGAGCGGGGGACAACAUUUGGAAACGAAUGCUAAUACCGCAUAAAAACUUUAAACACAAGUUUUAAGUUUGAAAGAUGCAAUUGCAUCACUCAAAGAUGAUCCCGCGUUGUAUUAGCUAGUUGGUGAGGUAAAGGCUCACCAAGGCGAUGAUACAUAGCCGACCUGAGAGGGUGAUCGGCCACAUUGGGACUGAGACACGGCCCAAACUCCUACGGGAGGCAGCAGUAGGGAAUCUUCGGCAAUGGACGAAAGUCUGACCGAGCAACGCCGCGUGAGUGAAGAAGGUUUUCGGAUCGUAAAACUCUGUUGGUAGAGAAGAACGUUGGUGAGAGUGGAAAGCUCAUCAAGUGACGGUAACUACCCAGAAAGGGACGGCUAACUACGUG